rnacentral:lncRNA from 1 species
AGCCCAACAAGAAGCCUUAACUAUACGUCGGAAGUGUAAGCUUCAGUGGUAUUUUGAUAAAUUCCUCUCUCUUCUCUUUCCCCAACUCCUGGCAGCUCUUGUUUCUUCUUCCACAUUACUUCAAACUUAACUGUGCUUAAAUUCCAAUUACUUUUCUUAGAGAAAGAUACUAGAAUUAGACGCAAACAAAUUCAGCUGAGAGAGCGUAAAAAUUCGGAUAGCAGGGCUCUAUCCCUGCUUCUGGCACUAUGUCGCUAACUUUCUCCAUUGCCUAGACAAAGAUCAAUAUCCAAAAUUGAAAAUUUCCAGUUCUUCAUAGUAAGAUUAACUUUUUACUUUAAAAUGAAGACUAAAAUUCUGAGUAGGUGAUAAUAUAUACUAUGUUUUACUAAAAUAUGUUUGAAAGCUGCAGAUAUUGUUCCACUUUAUUCUACACUAAAGAAACGUGGCAUUUUCUGCUGUACAGUAUCAC